rnacentral:rRNA from 1 species
AUUGAACGCUGGCGGCAGGCCUAACACAUGCAAGUCGAGCGGAUGAAAGGGGCUUGCUCCUGGAUUCAGCGGCGGACGGGUGAGUAAUGCGCAGGAAUCUACCUCGUAGUGGGGGAUAACGUCUCGAAAGGGGCGCUAAUACCGCAUACGUUCUGAGGAAGAAAGCAGGGGACCUUCGGGCCUUGCGCUAUGAGAUGAGCUUGCGUCCGAUUAGCUAGUUGGUGGGGUAAAGGCCUACCAAGGCGACGAUCGGUAACUGGUCUGAGAGGAUGAUCAGUCACACUGGAACUGAGACACGGUCCAGACUCCUACGGGAGGCAGCAGUGGGGAAUAUUGGACAAUGGGGGGCAACCCUGAUCCAGCCAUGCCGCGUGUGUGAAGAAGGCCU